AGUGGUCAGGGAUGAUGGGAAUUGUAGUCCCAAAACAUCUGGAGCAGUAAUAGGCAAACUCAGGCCUCCAGAUGUUUGGGGACUACAGUUCACAUCAUCCCUGACCACU